GGGUAGAGGCUUUAAUCCACUGAGCCACCCAGGUGCCCUGUGCUCUUAGCCUUUCUUAAUAGCUUAAUAAACCAAAGAUGAAUGGAGAUCCAAUGAACGUGGGAAAUGCCACACUGGGUGAGCUCAGCGGUUCCCCCAGCUCAGAAUUUCUGGCACUGACAAAUGGCUGGUUGGAAGAAAGUUCCAUGAUCUCAGUCUAAAACUCUUGAGUUUCUGAAGAGCCCUGCUGUUUCUGUUCCAUUCCCCUGUGAAUCUGCCAUUUGUGAAUUUAAGCAGAAAAAGGGUGUACUUUCUUACCCUUACCCUUUUCUAUGCACUUUAACCAAAGUAGAACUCCCAAAUAAUAACUGAGGUCAUUAUUACGUCAUAAACGCAGUUACAAAUGCAGGCUUGUUAUAUAGUUGGGUGUUGACCAAAGUUUUGUGGAGGUUUUACCAACAGGUAAAGCAACAAGACUAGAAAUAGCUUUUACAGAGUGUUACGAUUCAUGAAAUCAUCCUGUGAUAGAAACGACUAAAAUUGCUCGUGAAAGAAUAAUUUACCCUUUUGCAAUUUAUAUUCACACUUAAACACCAUUCGAGAGGAAGGGUUUAUGACUCUGUGAAAGGUUAAAACUGUGCAGUUGUCCAGUCAAAUCUGAGUGCACAGUUGCAAAGGGACAACGCGAAAGCCGGCCAACAUACAUUCUGCCGCUACUGACUUCCUCUUACUGAAGCCGGCAGGCCAGCUCGACAGAGACCCGGGAGGCAUGCAGAGCCUGCCACCAGUAGGCUUCGGUCUCUGCUGACAGAGGGACUCGGAUCAUGGAGAUGAUGGCCAUUUCUCCCCAUCCUUAGCUUUUAGGAGUUGAGAGUUGAAGCGUUCCUGAAAAAGAACCAUCUGUUGAAGUGAUCUGGAAAAAGAACCAUCUAGAAGCAGAUGAAGCUACCAAAAAACUUACACUGCGGUGCCUUCCUACCUAGAAGAGCCCCCUGCCCCGCUCAGCUGUGAGUAUAUUGAAUUCGGGAUGCCCUCGGUAAAGCAUUUGAGGACCUCUGAGGAGACUUGGUCAUAGUGAAUGAUCUUAUUGUUGGCCUAUUUCUGGAUCAGUACCUUUGUACACGGAACAAGCUGCUUUUAGCUUUGUCCUAGUACCAAGGACGCUGCUACUGCCACAGCAUAAUCAUGUAGUUGUGAGUGACCUCAAGGGCAGAAUUUCCUGUUUUGACAAUGGAAAUUAGAACAAUGAACUUCACAGGGGAAUAAAUGUUAAUGAUUGCUGUGACUUCCAUUGAGGAAGAGGAAAAUAUGCCAUUGUAUUUCCUAGUAUGGCUUUUUCAUAAUCUGCUCUUAUAAUGUGAAUUUUGAGUUUAGGAAACGUGGAAAGCUGGUGUGUGGUGUGUUUGAUGCGGGUGCUUUUUAUGUGUUGUACUCCUUUGCCUCUUACAUUGUGGAAUUCGAGUGCAGCAGAGGAACAAAAGUCCUUUACUGGCAGCUUAAUUCCGUUGAAUGUACAACAUCUGGGGAGAUGUUUUGUUGUUCAUGUGUUUAGGGGACAAGUGUGAACAGUAAUCCAUUUAGAUGAGAGGAGCAUGUUCUCCUUGAUGAUCAGGGGAGAGAGACUGAGCCAGAGGUAUGAUAUAGGCUCAUCUUCUUGCAUCCAAGGAUGCUCUUUCUUUUUCUGCCAUCUUGAGGGUCUCCCCACAGGGUGGAGGGAAGCCUUCUCUGUCAGGGUCAGUGUGCAUGGUAGUGGUGGGGGUGCUGUUUUUCUUACCCCAACCUCUGAGUCACUUCUGUCAGCCCAGAAGUCACUAUAUUGUGAGAUGGGCUCCUUUAGCCUUGACUUUCAGGCACCACAGGACAUCCCUUCCACUGCCGUCCUCAUACUCCUUCCCACAGGCCCCGUGACCUAGAACACCCAUCCCAGCGCCCACCCACCUGUGAGGAUGUACUGUGUCUACCUCUGAAAUCUGUACGUAGUUUACCAGCGGUGCUGUUUGAACUUCAGAACGCCAGCAUUGACUGGGCACCUACAAGGUGCUGGGCCGGUGUGAGUCAUGAGGAAAUGAGGCACAGUUAGGUGACUGCUGUAAGUGACACACCUGAGUCUUGAAUGAACAGUGUGUCUUCAAAGCCUGGGCUCUUAACUUCUUAAUGCCUUAUGUAACAUAAUACUCUUCAAAGAAUGACGUUUUUGCCAAAUCUUGAAGUUUUCAUCCACCCCAAGCAGAUGAGUACAAAUAAAGAACCCUUUGAACAUG